rnacentral:rRNA from 1 species
ACCCCGGGAAACUGGGGCUAAUCCCCGAUAGGCGAGGGGGCCUGGAAGGGUCCCUCGCCGAAAGGGACCUCAGGGGGUUAUCGCCUGGGGUCCGCCCGAGGAUGGGGCCACGGCCCAUCAUGGUAGUUGGCGGGGUAAUGGCCCGCCAAGCCGACGACGGGUAGGGGCCGUGGGAGCGGGAGCCCCCAGAUGGGCCCUGAGACAAGGGCCCAGGCCCUACGGGGCGCACCAGGCGCGAAACCUCCGCAAUGCGGGAAACCGUGACGGGGUCACCCCGAGUGCCCCCGUAAGGGGGCUUUUCCCCGCUGCAAGGAGGCGGGGGAAUAAGCGGGGGGCAAGUCUGGUGUCAGCCGCCGCGGUAAUACCAGCCCCGCGAGUGGUCGGGACUCUUGCUGGGCCUAAAGCGCCCGUAGCCGGCCCGGUAAGUCCCUCCUUAAAGCCCCGGGCUCAACCCGGGGAGCGGGGGGAUACUGCCGGGCUAGGGGGCGGGAGAGGCCGGGGGUACCCCAGGGGUAGGGGCGAAAUCCGAUAAUCCCUGGGGGACCACCAGUGGCGAAGGCGCCCGGCUGGAACGCGCCCGACGGUGAGGGGCGAAAGCCGGGGGAGCGAACCGGAUUAGAUACCCGGGUAGUCCCGGCUGUAAACUAUGCGGGCCAGGUGUCGGGCGGGCGUUAGAGCCCGCCCGGUGCCGCAGGGAAGCCGUUAAGCCCGCCGCCUGGGGAGUACGGCCGC